rnacentral:tRNA from 1 species
ACCGCGAUAGCUCAGCUGGUAGAGCAUUUGCCCGGUAAGCAGAGGGUCGGCAGUUCGACUCCGGCUCGCGGCG